UAGUUGCAGCUAAUGACAGUUUUUUUUUUUAAUUCUCGUGCAUUUUUGGGUUCUAAAUGUUGAUAAAUUAACAAUUUAUGAGAAAUUCAUUUGUGCGAUAAGCUGGAAACAAGGCGAAAGAUGAAGAGCAUUGGGAAGACGAAACGCAUCUGAGUAUUUCAUUCAGUGAACUGCAUAAAUCUGCUUGAGCUCCAAUAUUUAGCCAAAUGCCUAUUAAACUAAAUCAGCUUGGCUCUUGUCUGCAAAAUUCUUUAGCUCGAUUGUGGCUGCUGCUUAUUUUUUUUUCCACAUAUGCUCCGUUGACGGCGCCAAUUAAUUUGUGUGCUUAAUUCAGCUAAUUAUUCCAAGCAAUAAAA